UGCAUCCAACGAGUUUAUAACCUUGGCCGAUAGGUCUAGGUAAUCUUGUGAGUAUGCAUCGUGAUGGGGAUAGAUUAUUGCAAUUAUUAAUCUUCAACGAGGAAUGCCUAGUAGGCGCAAGUCAGCAGCUUGCGCCGAUUACGUCCCUGCCCUUUGUACACACCGCCCGUCGCUCCUACCGAUUGAGUGUUCCGGUGAGUUAUUCGGACCGUUUUGUGGCGCGUUCGUGCCCGAAAUGGGAAGUUUUGUGAACCUUAACACUUAGAGGAAGGAGAAGUCGUAACAAGGU
rnacentral:rRNA from 1 species